GACGAACGCUGGCGGCGUGCUUAACACAUGCAAGUCGAACGAUGAAGAAGAGAAACGCGAACUUCGGUUCAAAUUUCACUUCGGAUUAGUGGCAGACGGGUGAGUAACGCGUGAGCAACCUACCUCUUACAAAGGGAUAGCCUCGGGAAACCGUGAUUAAUACCAUAUGACACAUUCAUAAGGCAUCUUAAGAAUGUUAAAGCUACGGCGGUAAGAGAUGGGCUCGCGUCCCAUUAGCUAGUUGGUGAGGUAACGGCCCACCAAGGCGACGAUGGGUAACCGGCCUGAGAGGGUGAACAGUCACAUUGGAACUGAGACACGGUCCAAACUCCUACGGGAGGCAGCAGUGGGGAAUAUUGCACAAUGGAGGGAACUCUGAUGCAGCGACGCCGCGUGAGCGAUGAAGGAAUUCGUUUCGUAAAGCUCUGUUCUAUGGGAAGAAAAGGACUGUACCAUAGGAGAAAGCCCCGGCUAAAUACGUG
rnacentral:rRNA from 1 species